rnacentral:rRNA from 1 species
GAUGAACGUUGGCGGUGUGCCUAAUACAUGCAAGUCGAACGGAGUUAGUAGCAAUACUGGCUCAGUGGCGAACGGGUGAGUAACGCGUUGGUGAUCUGCCUUGAAGUGUGGAAUAACGUUUCGAAAGAGACGCUAAUACCGCAUGUGCUCUCGAUUUUCAGAAAGUUGAGAGUAAAGGAUUUAUUCGCUUCGGGAGGGGCCUGCGUCCCAUCAGCUAGUUGGUAAGGUAAUGGCUUACCAAGGCUUUGACGGGUAGCCGGCCUGAGAGGGCGACCGGCCACACUGGGACUGAGAUACGGCCCAGACUCCUACGGGAGGCAGCAGUGGGGAAUAUUGCACAAUGGGCGGAAGCCUGAUGCAGCGACGCCGUGUGCGGGAUGACGGCCUUCGGGUUGUAAACCGCUUUCAACUGUGACGAAUUUGACGGUAGCAGUAGAAGAAGCACCGGCUAACUACGUG